rnacentral:rRNA from 1 species
UGCAGUCGAACGGUGAUCUCGGUGCUUGCACCGGGUGAUCAGUGGCGAACGGGUGAGUAACACGUGAGUAACCUGCCCCAGACUCUGGGAUAACUCCGAGAAAUCGGUGCUAAUACCGGAUACGAGACGCACGGGCAUCUGUAGCGUCUGGAAAGAAUUUCGGUCUGGGAUGGACUCGCGGCCUAUCAGCUAGUUGGUGAGGUAACGGCCCACCAAGGCGACGACGGGUAGCCGGCCUGAGAGGGCGACCGGCCACACUGGGACUGAGACACGGCCCAGACUCCUACGGGAGGCAGCAGUGGGGAAUAUUGCACAAUGGGCGAAAGCCUGAUGCAGCGACGCCGCGUGGGGGAUGAAGGCCUUCGGGUUGUAAACCCCUUUCAGCAGGGAAGAAGCGAAAGUGACGGUACCUGCAGAAGAAGCGCCGGCUAACUACGUGCCAGCAGCCGCGGUAAUACGUAGGGCGCAAGCGUUGUCCGGAAUUAUUGGGCGUAAAGAGCUCGUAGGCGGUUUGUCGCGUCUGCUGUGAAAACCCGAGGCUCAACCUCGGGCCUGCAGUGGGUACGGGCAGACUAGAGUGCGGUAGGGGAGACUGGAAUUCCUGGUGUAGCGGUGGAAUGCGCAGAUAUCAGGAGGAACACCG